rnacentral:rRNA from 1 species
CUACGGGGGGCUGCAGUGAGGAAUAUUGCACAAUGGGGGGAACCCUGAUGCAGCAACGCCGCGUGGAGGAUGACGCAUUUCGGUGUGUAAACUCCUUUUAUAUGUCAAGAAAAUGACGGUAGCAUAUGAAUAAGCACCGGCUAACUCCGUGCCAGUAGCCGCGGUAAUACGGAGGGUGCAAGCGUUACUCGGAAUCACUGGGCGUAAAGGACGCGUAGGCGGGUUGGAAAGUCAGGUGUGAAAUCCUACAGCUUAACUGUAGAACUGCACUUGAAACUUCUAAUCUAGAGUAUGGGAGGGGGAGAUGGAAUUAGUGGUGUAGGGGUAAAAUCCGUAGAUAUCGCUAGGAAUACCUAAAGCGAAGGCGAUCUCCUGGAACAUUACUGACGCUAAGGCGUGAAAGCGUGGGGAGCAAACAGGAUUAGAUACCCUCGUAGUC